rnacentral:rRNA from 1 species
UCUACGGGCGGCAGCAGUGAGGAAUAUUGGUCAAUGGACGAGAGCCUGAACCAGCCAAGUAGCGUGAAGGAUGACUGCCCUACGGGUUGUAAACUUCUUUUAUAAAGGAAUAAAAUGAGGCACGUGUGCCUUUUUGCAUGUACUUUAUGAAUAAGGAUCGGCUAACUCCGUGCCAGCAGCCGCGGUAAUACGGAGGAUCCGAGCGUUAUCCGGAUUUAUUGGGUUUAAAGGGAGCGUAGAUGGGUUGUUAAGUCAGUUGUGAAAGUUUGCGGCUCAACCGUAAAAUUGCAAUUGAUACUGGCAGUCUUGAGUACAGUUGAGGUAGGCGGAAUUCGUGGUGUAGCGGUGAAAUGCUUAGAUAUCACGAAGAACCCCGAUUGCGAAGGCAGCUUACUAAACUGUGACUGACAUUGAUGCUCGAAAGUGUGGGUAUCAAACAGGAUUAGAUACCCGAGUAGUC